UACCUGCAGCUCGAGUGGUAACCGCUAUUAUUGGGCCUAAAGCGUCCGUAGCCGGUUUGGUAAAUAUCUGGGUAAAUCGUGAGGCUUAACUUCACGAAUUUCGGAUAGACUGCCAGACUUGGGACCGGGGGAGGUCAGAGGUACUCCAGGGGUAGCGGUGAAAUGUUGUAAUCCUUGGAGGACCACCGGUAGCGAAGGCGUCUGACUAGAACGAGUCCGACGGUGAGGGACGAAGCCCUGGGGCGCAAAACCGGAUUAGAUACCCGGGUAGUCCAGGGUGUAAACGAUGUGGGCUUUGUAUUGGAGGUCCCACGUGGGCGCCCAGUGCAGAAGAGAAGUUGUUAAGCCCACCGCCUGGGAAGUACGGUCGCAAGGCUGAAACUUAAAGGAAUUGGCGGGGAGCACAGCAACGGGAGGAGCGUGCGGUUU
rnacentral:rRNA from 1 species